UGAGGCAGUUUCUCUUCAGAUUGUAUAAAUCUUUUGCCUUUUACUAAAAAUUUCCGUGAAGAGGAGCACUCAGAGCUUGAAUUAAUUUUUUUUUGGCCCUGCUUUAGUGGGGC